CGGUAACAGGUCUUCGGAUGCUGACGAGUGGCGGACGGGUGAGUAAUGCGUAGGAAUCUGUCUUUUAGUGGGGGACAACCCAGGGAAACUUGGGCUAAUACCGCAUGAGCCCUGAGGGGGAAAGCGGGGGAUCUUCGGACCUCGCGCUAAGAGAGGAGCCUACGUCCGAUUAGCUAGUUGGCGGGGUAAAGGCCCACCAAGGCGACGAUCGGUAGCUGGUCUGAGAGGACGACCAGCCACACUGGGACUGAGACACGGCCCAGACUCCUACGGGAGGCAGCAGUGGGGAAUUUUUCGCAAUGGGGGCAACCCUGACGAAGCAAUGCCGCGUGGAUGAAGAAGGCCUUCGGGUUGUAAAGUCCUUUCGUGGAGGACGAAAAGGUGGGUUCUAAUACAAUCUGCUAUUGACGUGAAUCCAAGAAGAAGCACCGGCUAACUCUGUGCCAGCAGCCGCGGUAAUACGGGGGGUGCAAGCGUUAAUCGGAAUCACUGGGCGUAAAGGGUGCGUAGGCGGUACGUUAGGUCUGUCGUGAAAUCCCCGGGCU
rnacentral:rRNA from 1 species